rnacentral:rRNA from 1 species
UACGUAGGGUGCGAGCGUUAAUCGGAAUUACUGGGCGUAAAGCGUGCGCAGGCGGUUGUGCAAGACAGAGGUGAAAUCCCCGGGCUUAACCUGGGAACUGCCUUUGUGACUGCACGGCUAGAGUGUGUCAGAGGGGGGUAGAAUUCCACGUGUAGCAGUGAAAUGCGUAGAUAUGUGGAGGAAUACCGAUGGCGAAGGCAGCCCCCUGGGAUAACACUGACGCUCAUGCACGAAAGCGUGGGGAGCAAGCAGG